AGUUAGUUCCGGCCAGGUCGUUGAUGAGAGAAGGUGUGUCUUUCUGUGUGAACCUUCGUGGAGUUUAACAAUAUGUCUUAGGACCUGUGUGGCCUAUGUUUAAUCCUGUGUGGAGUGUUUGAAUAGAAUUCCUGUUUGUUGAAAGUACGAUAAACCGUAUUGAGAAAGAACAGCAGUAAGUGAGAAGUAUUUUUCAUUAUCAUUUAAAUUUAGAAUGCGCAUACGUAAGUAGAUAUCUAUAUUGUCCUUUGCUAAGUGUUGUAUGGAAUGUUUGUUUGUUUGUAUAAGAAUAUAAGAUAUUGUAGUCCGACGGUUGAAUAUAAUGUGUGUUUUUGAACAGUGUAGUGUUGUAAUUUUCACUGAGGACCCGAGAAUGAAUUGAAUUUUAGGUGACUAGCUGAGUGUGUGUGGUCGGUUAUAUACAAGACGGUAUCAUCCGUGGGUGCAGGACAACGAGAAGCUAACCAUCGUGGACCCAUCGUCAACGUGGGAAAUGUAACACACGCUGACGCACGGGCACAUUAUAGCUGGUGAUAUGGUCCAAUAACAUCCGUGACGAAAGGUUGGAUUUACAUGACAGUAUCUCUACGCACGUGUACCAGGUUAUACGAUAUACAUGAACGUGUGAUGUAUCCAUAUCACCAGUGAUUAACAUAAAUUGUAGUCUGAACUAUGCACGUACCUAAUGCGGGUGAAUUUAUUUAUUAAAAUACAACUUCCCAAAAGCAUUGUCCGGACUUAGCAUUCAUAAGUGACAUCAGCCAAAGUCGGGUUAUUUAUUCUGUUUACAUAUGUUGGGGGGUAUUUAGGGGGUUAGUUUAUUUUUUUUAAAUAUUGUUUGUGUGAAUGCAUUUUGUGAUUUUUCAGCUAUUUGCGUGUGUGAAUUGAGUGUAUGAGUGUGUGUGUGUGUUUAGAGAGGGUUGUAUGCAUUAGCUUUAUAUGUUUUCUUUACGCUGUAAAUAAAGCUAUUUUCACGGU
rnacentral:sRNA from 1 species